rnacentral:rRNA from 1 species
GAGCGAACAGGAUUAGAUACCCUGGUAGUCCACGCCGUAAACGGUGGAUGCUGGAUGUGGGGCCCGUUCCACGGGUUCCGUGUCGGAGCUAACGCGUUAAGCAUCCCGCCUGGGGAGUACGGCCGCAAGGCUAAAACUCAAAGAAAUUGACGGGGGCCCGCACAAGCGGCGGAGCAUGCGGAUUAAUUCGAUGCAACGCGAAGAACCUUACCUGGGCUUGACAUGUAAUGAACAACAUGUGAAAGCAUGCGACUCUUCGGAGGCGUUACACAGGUGCUGCAUGGCCGUCGUCAGCUCGUGUCGUGAGAUGUUUGGUUAAGUCCAGCAACGAGCGCAACCCCUGUUGCCAGUUACCAGCACGUAAAGGUGGGGACUCUGGCGAGACUGCCCAGAUCAACUGGGAGGAAGGUGGGGACGACGUCAGGUCAGUAUGGCCCUUAUGCCCAGGGCUGCACACGUACUACAAUGCCCAGUACAGAGGGGGCCGAAGCCGCGAGGCGGAGGAAAUCCUAAAAACUGGGCCCAGUUCGGACUGUAGGCUGCAACCCGCCUACACGAAGCCGGAAUCGCUAGUAAUGGCGCAUCAGCUACGGCGCCGUGAAUACGUUCCCGGGUCUUGUACACACCGCCCGUCACAUCAUGGAAGCCGGUCGCACCCGAAGUAUCUGAAGCCAACCGCAA